AUUCCGGUUGAUCCUGCCGGAGGUCAUUGCUAUCGGGGUCCGAUUUAGCCAUGCUAGUUGUACGAGUUCAGACUCGUAGCGGAUAGCUCAGUAACACGUGGCCAAACUACCCUACAGAGAACGAUAACCUCGGGAAACUGAGGCUAA
rnacentral:ncRNA from 1 species